rnacentral:rRNA from 1 species
AGGGCACCACCAGGAGUGGAGCCUGCGGCUUAAUUUGACUCAACACGGGGAAACUCACCAGGUCCAGACACAAUAAGGAUUGACAGAUUGAGAGCUCUUUCUUGAUUUUGUGGGUGGUGGUGCAUGGCCGUUCUUAGUUGGUGGAGUGAUUUGUCUGCUUAAUUGCGAUAACGAACGAGACCUUAACCUCUAAAUAGGGCUGUUAGCAUUUUGCUGGCGAGCGCUUCUUAGGGGGACUAUUGACUUGAAGUCGAUGGAAGUUUGAGGCA